rnacentral:piRNA from 1 species
UGUUAAAGGUUUUUAAAAGAUUUUCGAAAGG